GAUGAACGCUGGCGGCGUGCCUAAUACAUGCAAGUCGAGCGAACAGACGAGGAGCUUGCUCCUCUGACGUUAGCGGCGGACGGGUGAGUAACACGUGGAUAACCUACCUAUAAGACUGGGAUAACUUCGGGAAACCGGAGCUAAUACCGGAUAAUAUAUUGAACCGCAUGGUUCAAUAGUGAAAGACGGUUUUGCUGUCACUUAUAGAUGGAUCCGCGCCGCAUUAGCUAGUUGGUAAGGUAACGGCUUACCAAGGCAACGAUGCGUAGCCGACCUGAGAGGGUGAUCGGCCACACCGGAGCUGAGACACGGUCCAGACUCCUACGGGAGGCAGCAGUAGGGAAUCUUCCGCAAUGGGCGAAAGCUUGACGGAGCAACGCCGCGUGAGUGAUGAAGGUCUUCGGAUCGUAAAACUCUGUUAUUAGGGAAGAACAAAUGUGUAAGUAACUAUGCACGUCUUGACGGUACCUAAUCAGAAAGCCACGGCUAACUACGUG
rnacentral:rRNA from 1 species